rfam:Oryza punctata chromosome 3, whole genome shotgun sequence.
AAUAAUUGCAGUUAUACACUGUUCAUGUCCAACGUUUGACCGUUCAUCUUAUUUGAAUUUUUUUUAUGAUUAGUAUUUUGGUUGUUAUUAGACGAUAAACAUGAAUAGUACUUCAUGUGUAACUAAUUUUUUUAAUCUUUUCAUAAAUUUUUUAAAUAAGACGGAUGAUCAAAUGUUAGACACGAAAAUCCGCAACUGCACUUAUU